rnacentral:tRNA from 1 species
GAAGUAGUAGUUUAAAUUAAAACAUUAAGUUGCAAUCUUAAAAAUAGAUAAUUCUUUACUUUU